rnacentral:rRNA from 1 species
AACGAACGCUGGCGGCAUGCCUAACACAUGCAAGUCGAACGAGCCCUUCAGGUCUAGUCGCGCACGGGUGUGUAACCGGUGGGAACCUUCCCUUAUGGUCAGAAUAACUCCCCGAAAGGGGUGAUAAUACCGGAUCAUGUCUUCGGACCAAAGAUUUAUCGCGUUUGGAUGGGCAGUCGUUGCAUUAGAUCGUUCGUAGGGUAAGAGCCUACCAAGGCGACGAUCCAUAGAUGGUCUGUGAGGAUGAUCAGCCACACUGGGAGUGAGACACGGCCCAGACUCCUACGCGAGGGAGGAGUGGGGAAUAUUGCAAAACGGGGUAAAGCAUGAUCGAGCAAUGACGGGAGAGUGAUGAAGGCCUUAAGGUUGUAAAGCUCUUUUAACCGGGAUGAUAAUGACAGUACCGGGAGAAUAAGCUCCGGCUAACUACGUG